rnacentral:rRNA from 1 species
UGGGGAAUUUUCCGCAAUGGGCGAAAGCCUGACGGAGCAAUACCGCGUGAGGGAGGAAGGCUUUUGGGUUGUAAACCUCUUUUGUUAAGGAAGAAGAAGUGACGGUACUUAACGAAUCAGCAUCGGCUAACUCCGUGCCAGCAGCCGCGGUAAUACGGAGGAUGCAAGCGUUAUCCGGAAUCAUUGGGCGUAAAGCGUCCGCAGGUGGCUCUUCAAGUCUGCUGUUAAAGACAGAAGCUCAACUUCUGAAAGGCAGUGGAAACUGGAGAACUAGAGUACGGUAGGGGUCGAGGGAAUUCCCAGUGUAGCGGUGAAAUGCGUAGAGAUUGGGAAGAAUACCAGUGGCGAAGGCGCUCGACUGGGCCGUAACUGACACUCAGGGACGAAAGCUAGGGUAGCGAAAGGGAUUAGAUACCCCCGUAGUCC